rnacentral:rRNA from 1 species
AACGUAGGUGGCAAGCGUUAUCCGGAUUUACUGGGCGUAAAGCGUGUGCAGGCGGGGGUACAAGUGGUGUAUGAAAUUUCCCAGCUUAACUGGGAAGGGUUAUGCCAGACUGUACUUCUGGAGUGCGAGAGAGGGGCGUGGAAUUCCGGGUGUAGUGGUGAAAUGCGUAGAGAUCCGGAGGAACACCGGUGGCGAAGGCGGAUCUCUGGGCCUUGCCUGACGCUGAGGCGCGAAAGCUAGGGGAGCGAACAGG